GUGACCUCAAAUCAGGUAGGACUACCCGCUGAACUUAAGCAUAUCAAUAAGCGGAGGAAAAGAAACUAACAAGGAUUCCCCUAGUAACUGCGAGUGAAGCGGGAAAAGCUCAAAUUUAAAAUCUGGCGGUCUUUUGGCUGUCCGAGUUGUAAUCUAGAGAAGUGUUAUCCGCGCUGGACCGUGUACAAGUCUCCUGGAAUGGAGCAUCAUAGAGGGUGAGAAUCCCGUCUUUGACAUGGACUGCCAGGGCUUUUGUGAUGCGCUCUCAAAGAGUCGAGUUGUUUGGGAAUGCAGCUCAAAAUGGGUGGUAAAUUCCAUCUAAAGCUAAAUAUUGGCGAGAGACCGAUAGCGAACAAGUACCGUGAGGGAAAGAUGAAAAGAACUUUGGAAAGAGAGUUAAACAGUACGUGAAAUUGCUGAAAGGGAAACGCUUGAAGUCAGUCGCGUCGUCCAGGGAUCAACCUUGCUUUUGCUUGGUGCACUUUCUGGUUUGACGGGUCAGCAUCAAUUUUGACCAUUGGAAAAAGAUCGAGGGAAUGUGGCAUCUUUGGAUGUGUUUAUAGCCCUUGGUCGCAUACAAUGGUUCGGGAUUGAGGAACUCAGCACGCCGCAAGGCCGGGUGUAACAGCCACGUACGUGCUAGGAUGUG
rnacentral:rRNA from 1 species